GACGAACGCUGGCGGCGUGCUUAACACAUGCAAGUCGAACGGAAAGGCCCUGCUUUUGUGGGGUGCUCGAGUGGCGAACGGGUGAGUAACACGUGAGUAACCUGCCCUUGACUUUGGGAUAACUUCAGGAAACUGGGGCUAAUACCGGAUAGGAGCUCCUGCUGCAUGGUGGGGGUUGGAAAGUUUCGGCGGUUGGGGAUGGACUCGCGGCUUAUCAGCUUGUUGGUGGGGUAGUGGCUUACCAAGGCUUUGACGGGUAGCCGGCCUGAGAGGGUGACCGGCCACAUUGGGACUGAGAUACGGCCCAGACUCCUACGGGAGGCAGCAGUGGAGAAUAUUGCACAAUGGGCGGAAGCCUGAUGCAGAAACGCCGCGUGCGGGAUGACGGCCUUCGGGUUGUAAACCGCUUUCGCCGGUGACGAAGCGUGAGUGACGGUAAUGGGUAAAGAAGCACCGGCUAACUACGUG
rnacentral:rRNA from 1 species